UACGUAGGGGGCGAGCGUUGUCCGGAGUUACUGGGCGUAAAGGGCAUGCAGGCGGUCGGACGCGUUUCGGGUGACAGCGGGUGGCUUAACUACCCGAGUGGUCGAAAGACGGUUUGACUUGAGGACGCGAGAGGGACACGGAAUUCCGGGUGGAGUGGUGAAAUGCGUAGAGAUCCGGAGGAACACCGAAGGCGAAGGCAGUGUCCUGGCGCGUAACUGACGCUGAGGUGCGAAAGCCGGGGGAGCGAACGGG
rnacentral:rRNA from 1 species